UACAGAGGUCUCAAGCGUUGUUCGGAUUCAUUGGGCUAAAGGGUGCGUAGGUGGCGCCGUAAGUCGGGGUGUGAAAUUUCGGAGCUUAACUCCGAAACUGCAUUCGAUACUGCGGUGCUUUGAGGACUGGAGAGGAGACUGGAAUUCAUGGUGUAGCAGUGAAAAUUGCGUAGAGAUCAUAGGAAGACCAGUGGCGAAAGGCGGGGUCUCUGGGA
rnacentral:rRNA from 1 species